UACGUAGGGACCGAGCGUUGUCCGGAAUCAUUGGGCGUAAAGGGCGUGUAGGCGGCCACUUAAGUCCUGCGUGAAAUCUUGCGGCUCAACCGCAAGCGGUCGUGGGAAACUGGGUGGCUAGAGUGCGGGAGAGGAGAGUGGAAUUCCUGGUGUAGCGGUGGAAUGCGCAGAUAUCAGGAAGAACACCCGUGGCGAAGGCGGCUCUCUGGAACGCAACUGACGCUGAGACGCGAAAGCGUGGGGAGCAAACAGG
rnacentral:rRNA from 1 species